AGAACGAACGCUGGCGGCAUGCCUAAUACAUGCAAGUCGAACGAAGGCUUCGGCCUUAGUGGCGCACGGGUGCGUAACGCGUGGGAAUCUGCCCCUUGGUUCGGAAUAACAGUUGGAAACGACUGCUAAUACCGGAUGAUGACGAAAGUCCAAAGAUUUAUCGCCAAGGGAUGAGCCCGCGUAGGAUUAGCUAGUUGGUGAGGUAAAGGCUCACCAAGGCGACGAUCCUUAGCUGGUCUGAGAGGAUGAUCAGCCACACUGGGACUGAGACACGGCCCAGACUCCUACGGGAGGCAGCAGUAGGGAAUAUUGGACAAUGGGCAAAGCCUGAUCCAGCAAUGCCGCGUGAGUGAUGGAA
rnacentral:rRNA from 1 species